UGGCGGACGGGUGAGUAACGCGUGGAAAACCUGCCGUAUACUGGGGGAUAACACUUAGAAAUAGGUGCUAAUACCGCAUAAGCGCACAGCUUCGCAUGAAGCGGUGUGAAAAACUCUGGUGGUAUACGAUGGUUCCGCGUCUGAUUAGCUAGUUGGUGGGGUAAUGGCCUACCAAGGCAACGAUCAGUAGCCGGCCUGAAAGGGUGAACGGCCACAUUGGGACUGAGACACGGCCCAAACUCCUACGGGAGGCAGCAG
rnacentral:rRNA from 1 species